rnacentral:snRNA from 1 species
AGCCUGUGAAGGCCAUUUGUUUGUAACACAUCUCCCUUGAGGGCCAAGUUUGUUUCAGCUGAUUUGCUGGGAAAGGCAGCUACCUCCUCUUUAUCUCACCAUUCUACCUGGACACCUGCCAAUGAUGUACAUUUGGUCAAGGAGCACAACCUCCUAAACAGAGUGCCUUUUAUCUUAUCAAGGGUAUUCAAGGAUCUGCACUAUCCUGCAAGAUCUAAAUAAGUUUAAGGCCAGUGGGGGAAUGACAUAGAACAGUAAAUCUUCCAAGACUGCCUUUCUCUAAAAACCUGUCCCAGAGAUUGACACCCCUCACAUUUCAGAAUUU